CAUCAUGAUCCAUCUAACACAAUGGUUAAUAGUGUGCAUCUACAUCCAUCCAUUUAUCUUCUUCCACUAAUUCGGCACCGAGUCGCGGGGGCAGCAGUCUAGGCAAAGAUGCCCAGACUUCCCACUCCCCGGCCACUUCCUCCAGCUCCUCUGGGGGAACUCCGAGGCGUUCACAGGACAGCCGAUAAACAUAGUCUCUCAAGCAUGUCCUGGGGCUUCCCAGUGGAACAUACCCGAAACACUUCCACAGGGAGAUGUCCAGGAGGCACCCAGACCAGAUGCCCGAGCCAAAUCAACUGGCUCCUCUCGAUGUAGAGGAGCAGCGACUCUACUCUGAGCUCUCUCAAAGGUGACCGAGAUUCUCACCCUAUCUCUAAGUGGGCGCCCUGCCACCCUAUGGAGGAAACUCUUUUCGGCCACCUGUGUCCGGAAUCUCAUUUUUUCGGUCAUGACCAUAGCUGAGUACUGGAAUGAAGAUCGACUGGUAAAUUUGCCAUUUCUACCAAUCUUGCCCCUCCAGGUGCCUCCAGGAUAAUGGAGUCCCCCGUUUGGGCAGAGAUACCAAGAAGGCCGGGUACACCAAACUGUUGUUUGGUCCGUAGGCUGAAACGACAGCCAGAGACCUAUACCCCACCUGAAGGCGAAGGGAUGUGAUCCUCUCGUCCACCGAGUUUAACUCCAACACUUGGCAACUGAGCUAGGGGGUCACAAGAAAGCCCACAUUGGCCCGCCACCUCUCACCAUGUGGAACUCCAAAAUGGUUGAGUCCAACCCCUCUUGAGGGACUGAGUUUCAGAGCCCAGACCGUGCAUGGAGCAGGUGGUGGGCCCAUGGGACAGUGAUCCCACAGGACAGUGAUCCCACGAGACAGUGAUCCUACGUCAUUCCUUCAGGCUGAACCUGGUCGGAACCCUGGUCACCAGGCUCUUGCCUGCGAGCCCCAUCUCCAGGGCUUGACUCCAGAGUGGGGCCCUAGUAACACCAGUCUGGGUGAUGUCACAGAAUCUUUGUUUGAAUUUCUCAUGAAGGGGUUUUGAUGAAGUAGUUCUUUUAACUGUUAAUUGGUUUUAGACUUGCAUGCUCUUCAUUUUUAACUCAACUGAUGACACCUUUGAGUAAAAAACAUUCAUUUCUAAACACACUUGUACUUACUUUAAAAAAA